GGACACCCGAGACAGCCACUGCCUUACAAGGCUGCCACAGGCACAGCCGGCCUAUGGACGCAGCUCGACCCAGGGUGCGGUCGCUGUGGAGCGUGGGAACCGGGCGGAGGUUGGGGAAGAGCGUGUGGGGCACACCUGGCCCUGGGGCCCGGGGCGUGUGGCCAGUCCUAAGUGGGGAAGCUGAGGCUGGUGGCGCAGUCGCAGCCUACACUGCGUGCAACCCGCAACCGUUGCUGAUCCCUACGUGCCUAGAGAGCUUGAUGCGCGGGGUGAGAUCGCUGGCCACUCAGGUUAUCUGCACGAAAAGGAUUCUCAGAGUCUCUGCUGAUUUUCCUUCAUUCUAGGAAUGUUUGCCACAGAAUCUCUGACUCUGGCCUGCUCGUCAGUAUGUGCACCAGCUGCAUGCUGGGUGCCCUUGGAGACCAGAUAGCAGCAUCAAGGAUGGGCACAGUGUCUCCCUCCACAAGAGAUAAUUCAGCUUGUGUGGACUGAAUUUACAGCCUGUGGAGACAAAACGUGGCUUAGAUUGGCUGUAGACAUCCGUCUUGC
rnacentral:lncRNA from 1 species